UCCGUAAUGCACCGACGCCGUAUGGUGGAUGACUUGGCUUGGGUGGCGACGAAGGACGCGGCAAGCUGCGAAAAGCCCCGGGGAGGCGCACGCAUCCCUUGAUCCGGGGAUUUCCGAAUGGGGUAAAACCCACCGAGAUUGCCGCAAGGCGUCUCGGUGAUCCGAAAGGAUCGCGAACGCUGGGGAAGGAAACAUCUGAGUACCAGCAGGAAGAGAAAUCAAUUGAGAUCCCGUUACUAGCGGCGAGCGAAAACGGGACAGCCCAAACCGAAUCCCCUGGUGAAAGCUAGGGGAGAUGUAGGGUUCGCCUUCAGCGUGUGCGACCCUGGGACCGAUAGCUGAACUCGGCUGGAAAGCCGGAGAACAGAGUGUGAUACUCACGUAGGUCAAUCGGGACCGAGGUCGUGCUGAGGGCAGAGUACCUGGCCUUGGCAGUGGCUAGGGAACAUGGGGGAAAGCAGCCUCCAAGGCUAAACACUACCCAAGACCGAUAGCAAACUACGUACCGCGAGGGAAAGUUGCAAAGGGCCCCGAAAGGGGUGUGAAAAGAGCCUGAAACCAUACGGUUACAGACGUGCGCGGCAUGGAAGGACCACGAUCCUUGAGCGAGUCCCGCAAGGGGCUCAAUUGAGGGUAAGUGCUCCGGUGUCGCGCAUUCCGUCUAGAAACACGGGCCAGGGAGUUAACUGUCAUGGCGAGCCUAAGGGUUCAAAGCCCGGAGGCGAAGCGAAAGCGAUACUCCGCAAGGCCGCAAGGCCCCAGGGAGGAGGUGUGAAAGUGCCUUUGAGUCAUGGCGGUUUAGACUAGAAACCGAGUGAUCGUGCCCUCGACAAGGUGAAGCCGGGCGAAAGCCUGGUGGAGGCCUGACAGGGUCUUAACGUGCAACUUAGUCCCCUGAUCGGGGGCAAGGGGCCAAAAGCCUAUCUAACUCGGUGAUUGCUAGUUCCCACCGAAGCGGAUCCCAGUCCUGUCUCCGUGGAUGUAGCUCACGCUGUAGAGCACCGAUGAAGAAACAAGGAUUCGAAAGGGUCCACUUCUUUUUCGAACUCCGAAUGUGUGGGCGCAAGAGAAGCGGGGAAGCGGGUUUAUGUGGGGUAAGCCUCAUAACCGAGAGGGGAUUAACCCAGACUGGAGUUAAGGUCCCCAAGUUUAGGCUAAGUGUCAAGCUAAAGGGUGUCCGCGAGCUCAGACAGCAGGGAGGUAGGCUUAGAAGCAGCCACCCUUCAAAGAUAGCGUAACAGCUCACCUGCCGAGCUUGCAGGCCCCGAAAAUGGACGGGACUAAAGCCUAGCACCGAUACUCCGGACAGCUACUCUGAGAGUAGCUUGUGGUAGGUGGGCGUAGAGAUUGGGCGGAAGCCGGGCCGUGAGGUCCGGUGGACCGAUUUCUAGUGCAGAUCCUGGUAGUAGUAGCAGCAUAGUCGGGUGAGAAUCCUGACCGCCGCAAGGGCACGGGUUCCCUGGCAAUGCGUCGUCAGCCAGGGGUUAGCCGAUCCUAAGUGUAUCCUCAACAGGGAAACACGAACCAGGGAAACUGGUUAAAAUUCCAGUGCCUUCGUAUGACCGAUGGGCCGCAAGGCCCGAUAUCGACUCCGAUGCUUCGAGGUAGGACGUGCAGAGUUUAUCGCUCUGUCUAAUCUUCCGAGUCGUGGGGAGUGUCGUAAUGACGAGAACCACGUCGAGGGGAGAAUGGCAGCCCGUUGGGGUUGUUCGCCCAAUCCUCGGAGACAGUGAAAACGGAGUUGGAAAGGCCAUGCGAAGAUCGUACCCAGAACCGACACCGGUGCCCCUAGGUAAGAAGCCUAAGGCGUGUCGGGGAACUGUAGGUAAGGGAACUCGGCAAAAUAGUGGCGUACGUUAGCUAGAAGCCAUGCCUGCAUUCUUCAUGAGAAAUGGGGUUUGCAGGUUGCAAUAACAAGGGGGUCCCGACUGUUUACUAAAAACACAGUAAGCCGCAAGUCCGAAAGGAUGUGUACGGCUUAUGAAUCCUGGCCAGUGCAGGUACCUAAAACCUGGGUUCAACUGGGCUAAGGGCCUGUAAACGCCGGGAGUAACUCUGACUCUCUUAAGGUAGCCAAAUGCCUUGUCGGGUAAGUUCCGACGUGCAUGAAUGGACCAACGAGGGCCCCGCUGUCCCUAUCUACGACCCGGCGAACCUACGUAAGGUGGACGAACAGUCCAUCAACUUCCAUCGGGGAGAGAAGUCCCUGUGGAGCUUUACUGCAGCUUGUUGCUGCGAUGCGGUCUUCUUUGCAGAGUGUAGCUGGGAGACUUCGAAGCGCUGCUUUCGGGUGGCGUGGAGUCAACAAUGUAACACCAGCCUUAGUGGACUGCGUCGCUAACUCCUACGGGAGGACAACGGCAGGUGGGCAGUUCGGCUGGGGCGGCACCCCCUUGAAAAGAUAUCGAGGGGGCCCUAAGGUCGGCUCAUCUGGGUCAGAACUCCAGAGUUGACGGCAAGGCGAAAAGCCGGCCUGACAGGAAGUUUAAACGCAGAACUUUCUGCAACGAAAGUUUGGCCUAGCGAUCCUCCAAGUCCUCACUGUUGGGGGCUGGAGGUGACAGAAAAGUUACCCCAGGGGUAACAGGCUCGUCGCGGGCGAGAGCUCCAAUCGACCCCGCGGUUUGGUACCUCGGCCCAUCAGGGCCUUGGGGCAGAAUCGUGGUAACGCGAUUGAAGUAUCCGCAGAAAAAACACGAGUAUCGGCUUAUAUCGGCGAAACCCGACCUCCUUUAUCCAGGAGUCCCCCCAAGGGGAUCAUUGGGAAGAGCGGGAGAGGGCAACGCCGAGGGAAGUCCAAUGGGAAUUCAGCACCCGACCAGAUGGAAGAAGUCAUUCGAUGACGCCGUGAAUGGCGUCCCAACAGCAGCACAUAUCGAGCUUGCAGGCAGGGCAGUCGACAGCGGAGGGGGCCUCACGGCACUCUUCCUGGGCGCAGCCGCAGUCUGCACAGCGCAUAACAAAUCUCGCUGCCAUGACAGGGACGCCACAGCUUCGUCUAAUACGACUUUCAUCUGAUUGGAAACGCAGGUUCGGUCAGGCAUCACCGCGGAUGGCAUGCGCAGAUUCAGGGAGGGCGCGCCUCAGAGGUGCGCGAGGAUAGGAUACACGGCGAGCAGCAUUAUCGCCAGCAUGGCGACGAUGAGGACCGCCGCGGCCAGGGCAAAGAACUUGCUCGUCCUGUCCAUGCGCGUCUCGCCAGCGCGGCACCCAAUAAACCCUGGGUAUGCGCAGGUCAAACAUCCCGGAUGCCACCGUUAAAGAGGUCCGGCCGUUCCGUUGUGACCCCGUAACGACUGAGCGCGCAGAAGUGUGCGUAAUGAGAUGGCCACGCGGCUAGCUCGAGAUCCCGCAAGGGACACAUCGCGUUCCGACGCGAUGCGACAUGGGCGCAAGCCCGCUCGGGUGUGCCACACAAGAAACGCGGCCAUCAUACGCCGACCCCACGAGUGCUCGUGGGUGAAGACAUAGUCUAACUCCGGGCGUAAGCCUGGGUAUAGUUGCGAUGUCGGCUCUUCCCAUCCUGGUCCUGCAGCAGGGGCCAAGGGUGGGGCUGCUCGCCCAUCAAAGGGGAACGUGAGCUGGGUUUAGACCGUCGUGAGACAGGUCGGCCUCUACCUGAUGGAAGCGGUGGUUCACUGAGGGGAAGCCCUGCCCAGUACGAGAGGAACAGCGGGGCGUUGCCUCUGGCGUACCGGUCGUCCGAGAGGGCGUCGCCGGGCAGCUAAGCAAUUGUGGAUAACCGCUGAAAGCAUCUAAGCGGGAAGCCACUCCCGAGAAGAGUGAGCCUUGGACCCAAGCUACCUCCGCAAGGGGGUGGGGCGGGUCCAGAAGGGCGGCCAUAGAAGAUGGCGUUGAAAUGGUGGGGGUGUACGCUGGAAGCUUCGGCGACCAGUUCAGCCCGUCCACUAAUUACAGCCCAACGCUUGGAUGA
rnacentral:rRNA from 1 species